rnacentral:rRNA from 1 species
UACGUAGGGUGCAAGCGUUAUCCGGAUUCACUGGGUUUAAAGGGUGCGUAGGCGGUUUAGCAAGUCCGUUGUGAAAUCUCUGAGCUUAACUCGGAAAUUGCGGUGGAUACUAUUAGUCCUGAAUACUGUGGAGGUUAGCGGAAUAUGUCAUGUAGCGGUGAAAUGCAUAGAUAUGACAUAGAACACCAAUUGCGAAGGCAGCUGGCUACACAGAUAUUGACGCUGAGGCACGAAAGCGUGGGGAUCAAACAGG